AACAAAUGUAUGCCUUAUGUUAAG
rnacentral:siRNA from 1 species